CUGUGAGAACAUCAGCAGUGGAUGAUUACCCCAAAGAAAAGGGGGCAUUUUUGUACCCACCCCUAAGAGCUGCUCCCUAGGGGAGGCUCUCCUAUAUAUGAGGUAUUAGUUAUAGGGUCCUACAUAGAGCUACCGCAAGAGAGAGAGAGAGAGAGAGAUGAGGGCAUUGCGUUUGCAUGAUAGGGAAAGGAAAAUCUCAUGAUGGUGGUGUCAAUAUCAGGCAAAAUUUAACACAAUCUAAAAAGUUGCACUUUGGGAGGCUCAGUAGUCAGUUCUGUACCAAAGCACAGAUGGCAUGCAUACCAACUAUUAUCUUGAUUGUUGAGGAAUAUGCUUCGUUUAUCCUUAGUGCAUCCCUUAGCGUGCCCUGAUCCACUUUUUUUCACGAAAAACCCGGUCUGGCACUCAUUCUGGUUACGCUAAGGGUAUGUCAAGCAGUGCUCUUAUCUCAAAGAGAAGAAGGAACAAAAAAGACAUGCAAACAAAUUGAAAAAGGAGAGGUAAUGCAAGAAUUACAUGGCAUGCAUACUAGAG
rnacentral:lncRNA from 1 species